rnacentral:rRNA from 1 species
AAGGGCACCACAAGAACGCGUGGAGCAUGUGGCUUAAUUUGACUCAACGCGGGAAAUCUUACCGGGUCCGGACACACUGAGGAUUGACAGAUAUAUGCGCGACCUCGCUUCGGCGCGAGUCACGCUGGAAGACGCUAGAUCUUUCAUGAUUAUGUGAUAGGUGGUGCAUGGCCGUUCUUAGUUCGUGGAGUGAUCUGUCUGCUUAAUUGCGUAUCCAAAAAGAGACCAAGUAUACGCGUAGAACCACGUGGUAGUGACCCCCUCUUUAACCGGAGGCGUGUGUCGCACACGUAUUAUACGCACUGGUCUCGGAUAGCAACGAACGUGACCGUACUCUAUUGUUGCAGUGAAACAGUGCUUGCCUUCGGGCUCGCACGACCCACUGCUUAGUAUAUAUGCGCUUCGGCGCAUAAUAUACAUUAAACUAUAGAGACCGCUGUUUUUUCCUUAAACCAGAGGAAGGAUACGGCAAUAACAGGUCUGUGAUGCCCUCAAAUGUUCCGGGCUGCACACGUGCUACAAUGAUCAUUGCACUGUGCAUCUAACCCAAAGUGCGUGGACAACAACACCUGCGCGGCUUCGGCCGUGCGUGUGUAUGAUUGACCACGCCGAACCUACUUCGAAAGUAAAAUUUCUCAGUGGGUAAUCCAUUAGAAGUAAUGACUCGCAUAGACCAUGGCACAAAAUAAAGUACGCGCAGGUCUACCCGGCUCCGCCUUUGUGCAGAGUGCAGUGUGUAGCUUGUUGUUUUCGUACGUGCCACCUCGUAUUAAUUCGUACGUGGGGACAGAUCAUUGUUUAAUUGUUGGUCUCGGUCUUAACUAGGAAUGCCUUGUACGGGUCUUUGGUUCAACAUACCACCCGGAAUACGUCCCUGCCCUUUGUACACACCGCCCGUCGCUCUUACCGAUGGAUUAUACUAUGAAUCUAUAGGACUGCCAAAGCGCUUGCGCUUAGUGGAAAUAUAUAUGAAUAGUGUGAUCUAAAGGAAAGAGAAGUCGAACAAGGCA